rnacentral:rRNA from 1 species
AUGGGCGCCAGGCUGCUGCUCCUCUCCUUCGACUGCCCGGCCGUCGCUGGCGGGCGGCGGUCUCGUCUGUCUGCAGUGCCACGGAUGUCUUCCGGUGCCCCCCUCGUGCGGCCCCCAGCCUCAUCCGUCUGCGCGUUCGCGGUCACCGCCGCUAGAGGCAACCUGCCGCACCACACCUCCGUGGUUGUGCUGCCCGCAAAGAUCUUUGUAUGUGCCUGA